ACAUGCUCCAAUCUGAACAAAUUUCACAUUGGCCCAGGACUGUACUUUUAUAGAACAGUCUAGGCAAAGUGAGUUCAUAUAAGCCUCUAUGGCAAGUUCUUAUUUUCAUUAAGUCGUGGCUGUCCACCAGCUCCUCUUUUUUAAAAAAGGAAAUUGGAAAUUGAAAGUCUCUGAAAAACUUGGAUAAAAAUGGUUAUCUACCUGCGGAAAAUCACACCGGGUUAUAUAAGAUUAUUGCAGACCCAAGCAGCUGGGAAGUUAGCCAUCAACCCCAUGGAUACACUGAUACAUCAGGCGGCCCUGUUCUUGGGUUUGUUUGGGACCAGCAUCUCUACCUACAGCUUAAUGCAGCUGGCUCAGAAGAAGAGGAAACCUGUGGAUUUUUAAUCAGAUUUUGGAUCUCAAGCCAAAGAGCUAAGCCUGAGCAGCACCCAUUGAUUUUCACUGUCACUUUCAGAGAUAACUCCACUGGCAGAAAGGUGUGCAGAGAGUGUCAUCCUCUGCUGUGAAUACAAAUCCUCUCAAUUUGUAUUCCGCAAUAUUUCUUGAAAGGUGGAAGAAGAACCUCAAUUAUCUCCCCCCUCCGGAAAACAAACUAACAAAAGAAGAAGAGCUAGAAGAAGGAGGGAGGGAAGCAUUGCAUUUUAUGGCAAGAUGGAUUCCCCAGGACAAGUGAUGGAUUUCUUUUUGCUGAGCUUAAUACACGCAGAAAGAUAUCUGUAUAUACACACAUCAGUUAAAAUCUCAUCUAGAGCAGACAGACAGAUUGCCAAGUAGAACUGCUUUGUUAUUAUUCUACCAAAUUAUUUUGGGCAGAAAGAUUAACAGGACAAAAGGGGAGCAACUGAAAGGCUGAAGAAAAAUAAGAAUGCCUUUCCCCUUCCUCUUCGCACACGAACUGAUUGCCAUGAUUUGGCACCACCAUUUCAGCUGAAUGCCUGGACCUCAAAUGCCAGAGGAAAGUGAAAUGGAUGGAUGCAUGUGUAACACUCUGCGCAAAAGAUAAACCAUAUAUUAACAGGCAGUUCUAUGCAAAUGGAUGGUUGGUUCUGUGCUGUGUUUUGGGCAUGUAUGGCAGGGAUAUAAGUUAGUGCUUAGUGCUUUUAACAACCUCUCUGUUCUGUAGUCAUAUAGAUAAUAGUUCUCAGACACAAAGUCCAGUGCUACAUCAUUUUGUGACAGCUGAAAUCAUAGGGUUGACCAAGCCUUAGAAGUCAUCUAGUCCAGGGGCCCCCAACCUUUUGGGCACCAGAGACUGGUUCCGUGGAGAGAGGUUUUUCCGUGGAUCGGAGGGGGCGUGGUUUCAUGUGUUGCCUGCAUGCAGUGGAUGGGGCUUCGCUUGUUUGAGUGGCCCGGUUUCUGGCAUGCCGCGGACGGUGCUGGUCUAUGGACCUGGGUUUGGGGAUCCCUGAUCUAGUCCACCCUCUUCUGUUACCCUUUGAACUAAUACAGACAGGAAAUCAAAAUACUUGGUUUUGUAAUAGCACUACCUUUAUUGUAAGUCUUUUGUAAACCUUGCAAUUCUGAAAGUACUUCUCCCUUCCCUGCCUUUACUUUCUAGAGAACUAGUGAGAGUCCCUUCUGAGAUGCUUUCUUCAUGCCCAUUCCUCCUUUGGACUGAGAUUUCUCUUAUCAGAUUGCUGUCUAGGCUGUGGCUCUUCCUCCUGUCCCCCAAGGUUAUUCUCACAGCCCAUCAUGUCUUCAGGAUCCAUGAGUGUAUCUCUAACAGGUGACUAUCCAGCCUGAGCAGCAGCUUACCCUACAAAAACAGUCUUCCAUGGACACAAACAGAUAUGUGGAAGAUGAGACUGAAUUUAUUUGGGGAUAAUUGUAACUGAAAGUUGUAUGAUGAUUUAGUUUCAGGUUACUACUUUAGAAGAAGGAGAGCAACAUAUUAGAUGGAUAACUAUCACUUUGAGGUAAUCUGCAGACCCAACCUUCAGUCAACGUUAUGGUCAAUGUUAUGGUCAUAACAUACCUCCGGUUAUGUUAUGGUCAAUGAAUCUUGAAUCUUGUAUCAAUGAGAAACUGAGUAGCUCUUUCUAUGCAUCCCAUUUACUACAAUAUGAAACAAAGCAGGAUAGCAACCAGAUACCCUGUGCAAAGAUUGGUUCAUUGUAAAUUUUUUUAAAAAAAAAACAUGAUUUUUUUUGUACUCAUCAUUGUUGUACUUUCUUUGUUAAUGGUACAAAUCAUUUCCUUUGUAAACAGUAUUUAUGUUUAACCACUGUGGGUCAUUGUACACCUCUGUCUUUCUUUAAAAAAAAACAGAAUUGCCUAAUGCAUUAUUAUAAAUCAUAAAUAGAUUUGACAUUACAA